CUAGCGACUUCAGAGUUUGAUCCUGGCUCAGGACGACGCUGGCGGCGUGCCUAACACAUGCAAGUCGAACGGAGUUUAGAAAAUGAGACCUUCGGGUGGAUUUUUCGAAGACUUAGUGGCGGACGGGUGAGUAACGCGUGAGUAACCUGCCGAGAAGAGGGGGGACAACACACCGAAAAGGUGUGCUAAUACCGCAUAUUGUCAUUUAUUCGCAUGUUUGAAUGAUGAAAGAUUUAUCGCUUCUUGAUGGACUCGCGUCUGAUUAGAUAGUUGGUGAGGUAACGGCUCACCAAGUCGACGAUCAGUAGCCGGACUGAGAGGUUGAACGGCCACAUUGGGACUGAGACACGGCCCAG
rnacentral:rRNA from 1 species